AUUGGUCCGACCGCAACGUCGUGUCCCUGGCCAAAAAUAGUCGCGGUAUGACGGCACAAAUCGGUGAAAAUAUGUAACACAGAACAUUUCAUAAAAAUGCAUUCAGAUACAUUUGUACAUGUCUAUAGUUCUAUGGGGUUGCAUGUAUAAUUGUUACUUUGACUUUUACUACGCGUGCUUCAAUAUUUAUACCCUGUUGUGAAUCGGUUGUAAGAGGACGUCACUAGGUGACGUCUUUUACACGUGCAUUUAUAGUCCAUCAUGACCCUCUAUAAAAAAAUCAUAAACCUUCUAUAAAGUCAUUGUGAAAUAUGCAAAUGCUGUGCUUACACCUUGGUUAAUACUGCAAAAAUUAAUUUAAGUGCAAAAAGUAGGUUUUUAAGAGGUUGUGAAUAGACGUCCACUGACGUCUUUUACACGUCUAGACUAGACUAGUAGGAAAAAAACAGGAUAAUCUUUAUGAAAUACACGAUUUGUAUACAAAGUAAAUAUAUUAACUUUAUCUUGUUUAAAUAAAUUAUAAUCACAAAGUGCCCAGUGUGAUUGCAAAGCCACACUGCAUUUUAGUCAUUAUUCCAACCUGUUUUAUUAUUGAAUGUAUGCAUAUAAAUGUAAAACAGAUACAUAUCCGGUCACCAUUUAGGUCUGAGUUGGAUGUUAUUUCAAAAACUGUGCUAUUAAUUUAAGAAAUAUAGUGAUAAAUCUGGGGAUAUUACAAAAUCCCGCGAUAGGACAGAUUAUCUCGCGAGAUAGUGGUGACGUCACGCGUUCUUCCGGAAGUUCACAUUCAAACACGAGGAGCGAUUACGAGGGAGUUUUGUCUAUAUAUCAUUCAAAAUCUACUGUUGGGAAAAGCAGAACCUCAUCCAAAUAAAAAUAAACAAGCUGUUAAAGGCACUGUGUCCUACACAGACCCUCCAAAAUAUAACCACCCAAAACCCAAGUCAGUUGAAGGUCAACACAAACCAAAUAAAGAUGUGCAUUCUACAAACAAUAAAAAAAAGAUCAAGUUUUGUGUCCACCACACUUAGAUGAGGCGUGCCCGACCCCUGACUUUGUCUACCCUACAUUAAGUUGCACACUUCAUGACAGUAAACAUCGGUAUCACAAUGGUGUGAUUGAUCUAUACCCUAGAAUAAGCUGUGACACUAUGAGACGUGAGGUAACACAACGAAAAAAUUACCGGAUGGAGACUACCUGAUUCUUCACCUAUGGCCUCAGCUUCAAAUGCAACAUGUCCAGCAACUGUCUGAGUUGGUGGAUAUUCUGUCAGAGACUGCGUGAACAACGUUAUGAACAGAAUGAUGUCAAAUUGUCUUAUGGCAAAGUUCAAUAUGAGGGGUGGUGGACAUCUGGAAAAGAAGUCUUUUAAAGGCACACCUUUGUAUUAUGUUAUUCAAGAUGCUGUGAAGAGGUGGAGCCCAAAUGCCACAGACUCGGAAAUAGAUGCAGCUAUGGCAGACCACCUCAAGCACGCUCCAGGAAGAGCUGGGGUGGUGGAUACAAAAAAGCCAAACAGCUGUGAUGUGUUAAAGAGAGAAGUCACCAAAAAAGGAAAAUUGUUAUAAUUUUCUUAUCCACAUGUUUCAAACCUGUAUACCUUUAUAUUUUCUGCUGAACACAAAGAUUGAAGAAUGUUUGUAACUUCACAACCAAUUAACUGUCAAUAUUUUUUUUACAAUUGUAGUAAUGGGUUGUGAGAUCUGCCUUGUUAAAAACAUUCUUUCACAUAUCUUUGUGUUUAGCAGAACAUAGAAGGGUAUACAGGUUUGAAACAUGAGAGGGAAUAAAUGACUAAAUAUUAAUUUUUGGGUGAACUAUCCCUUUAUAGAAAGUGUUUUGAAGUUGUUAUUAUAGUUAAAUGGUUAAAAAAAUAAAAAGUGCUAAAUCAGAA